CAAUAGCGUAUAUUUAAGUUGUUGCAGUUAAAAAGCUCGUAGUUGGAUUUCGGUUGAGAACGGCCGGUCCGCCGUUUGGUGUGCACUGGCUGGUUUCAACUUCCUGUAGAGGACGUGCUCUGGCUUCACGGCUGGACGCGGAGUCUACGUGGUUACUUUGAAAAAAUUAGAGUGUUCAAAGCGGGCUUACGCUUGAAUAUUUCAGCAUGGAAUAACACUAUAGGACUCCUGUCCUAUUUCGUUGGUCUCGGGACGGGAGUAAUGAUUAAGAGGAACAGUUGGGGGCAUUCGUAUUUCGUUGUCAGAGGUGAAAUUCUUGGAUUUAUGAAAGACGAACUUCUGCGAAAGCAUUUGCCAAGGAUGUUUUCAUUAA
rnacentral:rRNA from 1 species